UACAGAGGGUGCAAGCGUUGCUCGGAUUUACUGGGCGUAAAGCGUACGCAGACGGUGAGAAAGGUCGGAUGUGAAAGCCCCGGGCUCAACCCGGGAACUGCAUCCGAAACCAUCUCGCUAGAGUAUGGGAGAGGGAAGCGGAAUUCCUGGUGUAGAGGUGAAAUUCGUAGAUAUCAGGAGGAACACCUGCGGCGAAGGCGGCUUCCUGGCCCAUUACUGACGUUCAGGUACGAAAGCGUGGGUAGCAAACAGG
rnacentral:rRNA from 2 species